CCUACGGGAGGCAGCAGUGGGGAAUUUUGGACAAUGGGCGCAAGCCUGAUCCAGCAAUGCCGCGUGCAGGAUGAAGGCCUUCGGGUUGUAAACUGCUUUUGUACGGAGCGAAACGGUCUACUUUAAUACAGUGGGCUAAUGACGGUACCGUAAGAAUAAGCACCGGCUAACUACGUGCCAGCAGCCGCGGUAAUACGUAGGGUGCGAGCGUUAAUCGGAAUUACUGGGCGUAAAGCGUGCGCAGGCGGUUAUAUAAGACAGAUGUGAAAUCCCCGGGCUCAACCUGGGACCUGCAUUUGUGACUGUAUAGCUAGAGUACGGUAGAGGGGAUGGAAUUCCGCGUGUAGCAGUGAAAUGCGUAGAUAUGCGGAGGAACACCGAUGGCGAAGGCAAUCCCCUGGACCUGUACUGACGCUCAUGCACGAAAGCGUGGGGAGCAAACAGGAUUAGAUACCCUGGUAGUCCACGCCCUAAACGAUGUACACGUUGGUUGUUGGUCUUACACUGACUCAAGUAACGAAGACUAACGCGUAGAGUUCGACCGCGNGGAGGACGGCCGCGAGUAGUAACGACGAAGUAGAGUAGACGCGUAGAGACGACGCGACGGACGACGACGGAGGGAGGAGG
rnacentral:rRNA from 1 species